CCAAUAGCGUAUAUUAAAGUUGUUGCAGUUAAAAAGCUCGUAGUUGAAUUUCGGGAUUUGUCAGUUGGUCGGGCUUCACUGUCCGUAUUGACUUGAUGGAUUCUUACCUUCUGAAUAACCAGCAUGCUAUUAAGUUAGUGCGUUGGGGAAGCAGAUCUAUUACCUUGAAAAAAUUAGAGUGCUUAAAGCGAGCUAGUGCUUGAAUAGAUUAGCAUGGAAUAAUAAAAUAGGACGGCAUGGUUCUAUUUUGUUGGUUUCUAGGAUCACCGUAAUGAUUAAUAGGGAUAGUUGGGGGCAUUAGUAUUCAAUUGUCAGAGGUGAAAUGCUUGGAUUUAUUGAAGACUAACUUCUGCGAAAGCAUUUGCCAAGGAUGUUUUCAUUAAUCAAGAACGAAAGUUAGGGGAUCGAAGACGAUCAGAUACCGUCGUAGUCUUAACCAUAAACUAUGCCGACUAGGAAUCGGACGAUGUUAAUUUUUUAAUGACUCGUUCGGCACCUUACG
rnacentral:rRNA from 1 species